UACGUAGGGUGCAAGCGUUGUCCGGAAUUAUUGGGCGUAAAGAGCUCGUAGGCGGUUUGUCGCGCCUGCUGUGAAAACCCGAGGCUCAACCUCGGGCCUGCAGUGGGUACGGGCAGACUAGAGUGAUGUAGGGGAGACUGGAAUUCCUGGUGUAGCGGUGAAAUGCGCAGAUAUCAGGAGGAACACCGAUGGCGAAGGCAGGUCUCUGGGCCACUACUGACGCUGAGGAGCGAAAGCAUGGGGAGCGAACAGG
rnacentral:rRNA from 1 species